AAGGGAUCACUUUCCCUUUUACGAUUUUUUUCCUUUUUGGGAAAAGUAAUCACUAGAGAGAUCUCUGUCCACCUUCGCUGCUCGCCGUGGCUUUAGCAUUCCCCGCAUUAUUUCGAUAGUUUUCAAGUCUAAAAUCAGGUAAAACUUUUGUUUAUCCUCUGUAAAUUUAUUAAAUUCUGAAUCAGGUAGCUGUUGUUGUUACAUUAUUUAUUAGAAACCCAAAAGUAUAAAGAGAACGCACUUUUUCUAUGAUACAGGCUUAUGAAUUUCGUUAAUGUGUAGAAUAUGAAGUCAAUAUUGGUUCCUGCAUUUAAUUAAUGCUGGAAUCUACGCAUAUGCAAGUCCUACACUCACAUUGCUUUGGGAUUCAGGACGAGCUUUCGAUUUUUCAGAAUGUAGUCGUUACUGGUGAUCCAAUGAUUUAUCUAGAAAUGAAAAUGAAUAAAAACUCGGCUACAUGUUUAUGCUAAUAUUUAAACUGGGGCUAUUUAUGCGUACUUUCAAGUAGUCUAGAUGCUGUUCCGGUGGGUAAAAUAUGUUGCUGAACUUAUAAAAUUUAGAAAUAAAGAGUCUAUGCUAACAUAUUAAUUUAACUUUUCGUUUACAGAGUAUCUACAUUUUUCUUGUAGCAGAUGAGCUGGUUCGUAAUAGCUUUGUGGAAAGUAUAUUUUGAUGGCUUACAUUAAGCUCAAUAACAAGUCUCAGGAUUACCGUGAGCAAAAUGUACAUGCUUAUCGUCGGGUGCGGAGGUUUAGUCGGAUUUCGAGAAGAAGUUUAUUAUUCUGGCUGUUGUCACUUGCAGUGGUGUUCUUUAUCUGUUUGGCAAUUUUUGGAUCAAAGAUGCACUUUCAUGGUGAGAUUAAAGAUUCUCUUAUCCUAUCACAAUACCAACGCAAGUGUUCUGUUUAAAUUAAGUAGUAAAA
rnacentral:lncRNA from 1 species